UGUACAGGCCGGUGGUUGUUAAAAGGUUUAGACAGAGGCACACAAGCCAAUCUGACAAUGGAUUGCCAGGCCAUAGUUAGAUCUUUGUGUUCUAACGUUUUGCGGAAGCUUUAUGCAUUUCAUCCACGGUGUCAUUCAUGAAGAAAAAGAAGCAUUGACAAUAUCACGCAUGCCUUUUUAAGAGUGCAAUUUUGGAUAAAGAAAAUGGCAGAAUCAAUUGACAUCUGGACAGAGAUGCAACAUUGUGCAGUGAAUAAUGGCCUGGUAUGGCAACUGCUCUGCAAAUGAUCACAGGAAGCUACAGAAGGUGGUGUGCACAGCCCUUCCAUCCAUGGAUUACAUCCAUGUGGCUCACUGCCACAGAAAGGCUGCCAACAUCAUCAGGGCUUUUGCCCGAAACGUCGAUAUUCCUGCUC